GGAAAAAUGGCUAUUGGUAAAGCGAGAUAUUUGCUAAAUAUUGUGUAAUUAACACUUGGAUGUUCGAGUCAUCUUUUUUCC
rnacentral:tRNA from 1 species